rnacentral:rRNA from 1 species
GAUGAACGCUGGCGGCGUGCUUAACACAUGCAAGUCGAACGGUGAAGGCGGAGCUUGCUCUGCUGGAUCAGCGGCGAACGGGUGAGUAACACGUGAGCAAUCUGCCCCUGACUCUGGGAUAAGCGCUGGAAACGGCGUCUAAUACUGGAUACGAGCUGCGAAGGCAUCUUCAGCAGCUGGAAAGAACUUCGGUCAGGGAUGAGCUCGCGGCCUAUCAGCUUGUUGGUGAGGUAACGGCUCACCAAGGCGUCGACGGGUAGCCGGCCUGAGAGGGUGACCGGCCACACUGGGACUGAGACACGGCCCAGACUCCUACGGGAGGCAGCAGUGGGGAAUAUUGCACAAUGGGCGAAAGCCUGAUGCAGCAACGCCGCGUGAGGGACGACGGCCUUCGGGUUGUAAACCUCUUUUAGCAGGGAAGAAGCGAAAGUGACGGUACCUGCAGAAAAAGCGCCGGCUAACUACGUG